CAUUGAGCAGAUGACUAAUAGAAAACAAGGAAGUGAAUGCAAUAAGCAAGUGAUAUGAAAAUUAUGGGAAGAGAGAGGUUCAUGCUGUCUGGGGAAACAAAUUAGUAGAUGAGGUAGCAUUUCUGCCUAACCCUGAAGAAUGAGCAGGACCUGGCCUGGGAAGAUGGGAAGAGAGAGACACCAGUGUAGACAAACAAGUCUAGAGCUGUUCAGAGAAUUCCACUUCUAGUCCUCAUGAAUCUGGCAAUUGAGACCUUGGAGAAGCUUGGUAAAUGGCUCUGAGACUAAGGAGAAACUAUAUGCUCUGCAAUUCUGAAGCUGCUCUUGUCAGACGGCAUGUUUUAGAUUGUGCUGAAAUGGCUAAGUUUUCCCUAAGUUGGCAAAAAAAGAAAUCCAUUCCAUGUGGCUGGAAUCAGGCCCACUGAGAUUUUCACCAAGGGCAAAAAUACCUUGCAUGUGUAUCAAAAGCAGUUGGAUGAAACUGGCUCUAUUUUUCUCCAGCAACACCAUCAGACUAACGGCAUUCCAGCCAAUUCGUUGGCAUGGUUCUCUUUGGUGUGCAUCAGAAGGCCCAACUGAAGCUGGACUCAAAUUCCUGUCCUCUUCUUCUGGAUUCUAAAUCUGAAGACCUCAUACUACUGUUCAUAUGGUCAUUCAGCAAAGGUUUAUUUUGCGCUUACAGUUCAUGGGUCACUGUGUUGGGCAUUAGGAAUUCAAAGAUGAGUAAGACAUGGUCUUUAUAUUUAAAGUGCUCACCUUCAUGUCUAGAGAAGGAAGCAAAUAUCUUCCUAGAUUGUCCUCAUUUUGGGAGAGAGAUCAACCUCACUUAGAAUGGUAUGCAGUGCUGCCCUACUGUACACCUCUGGUGGGGUUAUGCAUCUGAUAUUCUACGUGACUUACAGCCCAUAGGAAACUGUGUCAACAAUACCCUGGAGAUGUGCAAAGAAGCUGCUCUGAGAGGGGUCCCCAAAAGGCUUCCUAGAAGAUGAGACACUUGGGCUUUGAAAAGAUGAGUGAUGGAUGUUGCAGAGAAUAACCCAAGCAAAGGAACACAACUAUGUAACUAUCAAUAAGCAAAGUCAGAAUUCAGUGGACAAGUCCGGGCGCGGUGGCUCAAGCCUGUAAUCCCAGCACUUUGGGAGGCCGAGGCAAGUGGAUCACGAGGUCAAGAGAUUGAGACCAUCCUGGCCAACAUGGCGAAACCCCAUCUCUACUAAAAAUACAAAAAUUAGCUGGGGGUAGUGGCACGCACCUGUAGUCCCAGCUACUCAGGAGGCUGGGGCAAGAGAAUUGCUUGAACCUGGGAGGCUGAGGUGGCAGUGAGCCGAGACAGUGCCACUGAACUCCAGCCUGGUACCUGGCGACAGAGUGAGACUCUGUCUAAAAAAAAAAAAAAAAAAAAAAUUCAGUGGACAAGAAGUGUGGUAAGUGCAGAAGGAGGCAGAAGCCAGAUAGCAAGUGUCUUGCACGCCAUAUCAAGGAGUUUGAAAUGCAUCUGUCUAGUGCUAGAAAGACUCUUUACAGGGCUUUAACUGUGACUUGUGUUUUUGAAUGUUCACUUUGAAAUCAGUGUGGAAAAUGAACUUGUUUAUGAAAGGAUUAAAGGGGUGGGCUGGAGAACAGGGAGAUUAGUUAGGAGGCUAUUGAAAUAGCCCAGUAGAGAAGUGAUGGAAAUUUGAGUUAAGAUAAUGAGUUGAUUAGUACUCCCCUCCGGGGAGGGCCAGCGGGGGGAGGAGCUGGGAAGGGAUAGCCUGGGGAGAAAUGCCAAAUGGGUGAAGGGGAGAAAGGAAGCAAAACACACUGCCACGUGUGUACCUA